rnacentral:rRNA from 1 species
GCAUGGUCUUAGCUUGCUAAGGCUGAUGGCGACCGGCGCACGGGUGAGUAACACGUAUCCAACCUGCCGUCUACUCUUGGCCAGCCUUCUGAAAGGAAGAUUAAUCCAGGAUGGCAUCAUGAGUUCACAUGUCCGCAUGAUUAAAGGUAUUUUCCGGUAGACGAUGGGGAUGCGUUCCAUUAGAUAGUAGGCGGGGUAACGGCCCACCUAGUCAACGAUGGAUAGGGGUUCUGAGAGGAAGGUCCCCCACAUUGGAACUGAGACACGGUCCAAACUCCUACGGGAGGCAGCAGUGAGGAAUAUUGGUCAAUGGGCGAUGGCCUGAACCAGCCAAGUAGCGUGAAGGAUGACUGCCCUAUGGGUUGUAAACUUCUUUUAUAAAGGAAUAAAGUCGGGUAUGCAUACCCGUUUGCAUGUACUUUAUGAAUAAGGAUCGGCUAACUCCGUGCCAGCAGCCGCGGUAAUACGGAGGAUCCGAGCGUUAUCCGGAUUUAUUGGGUUUAAAGGGAGCGUAGAUGGAUGUUUAAGUCAGUUGUGAAAGUUUGCGGCUCAACCGUAAAAUUGCAGUUGAUACUGGAUGUCUUGAGUGCAGUUGAGGCAGGCGGAAUUCGUGGUGUAGCGGUGAAAUGCUUAGAUAUCACGA